GCUAGCUAGUGAUGAUGGGAGCUGUAGUCUAUCAGCAGCUGGGGACCCAAGUUUUGGAAACCCUGGUCUUAAUUAUUCUGAAUGGUGGUGGUGGUGGUUGUAAGCCCUUGUAGCCUUUUGGCAGAUGUUAGCUAUAUUUAAGAAUAUGGUUAGACAAAAUGCCCUUGCCUAGGGAUUCCAUUGCUUUUGUUGAUAGCACCAUUUAUCUUCUCCAUGGUGCCAGCAUGGAGUUUUGAUCCCUAGCUGGCUGCGGUCAGCCCUAGCCUUGAGUGUUGGCCACCCCUAUUCUGUAUGUAAGAGAGCUCCCAAGAUACCUCAAGGAAGGGAAUAAAGUUUCUGGAAAAGAUUCUGCACUAUUUCUGACGUUUUGAUGGAAUUAGAAUCUGCGCCCCAUAUUCCCACACCGCAAAGCAUUUGGGUAAUCACCUCACUACCAAAAAUCUUUAAGGCCACCUAAGACUAAUGGUGCUAUAACCUUGAUUAAGGUUUUGAGGGCAACCUGGUGAUAAAGUUUCCCUUUUCCUUUUUGCCACCCUUUACUCUGUCCAGUUCUGUGUGAACCAAGGGUGCAAGUGCUGGGUUUUUUCUUUCUCUCUUUCCAGACAGCUCUCUGCAAAUGUUUGACCUUCUAGUUCCUGCAUUCAUUUUUAUCUUGAGACCCUUUGUUGUUGUUUUUUAUAAUAAUUUUUUAUUCAUUUUCCCAACAUUUUUAUACAAUCAACUCAUAUUAACUCUCACAUUCAUCAAUUUUUGACUUCCCUCAGCUUCUCUGCAAAUCUUUCGUUAAAAUUUCUAUUGUUAAUGCAUUUCUGAACUUAUUAUUGCCUUUAACCAUUCCUCUUCCUUUCUCCUACUUUCUUUUUUACAAUAUUUCUUAAUUUUUCACAGAGACUCUUCAAAACCAACAAGCGUUGUCUGUGCUUCACAUAUGCUUUUCAGAUAAUCUGUAAAUUUCCCCCAGUCCUCAAUAAACUUUUGGUCUUUCUGAUAUCAAAUCUUCCCAGUCAAUUUAUCCAGUUCCGCAUAUUCAGUCAGUUUCAUUCUCCAUUCUUCCACAGUUGGAAUUUCUUCCUGCUUCCAUCUUUGCGCCAGAAGUAUUCUUGCAGCUGUUACAGCGUAUUGGAAAAGUUUACAAUCUUUUCUAUUAAUUUCAUUACCUACCAAUCCUAGUAAGAAAGCUUCUGGUUUUCUAACAAAUGUAUAUCUCAACAUCUUUUUCAAUUCCUUAUAUAUCAUUUCCCAGAAGCCUUUCACCUUUUUGCAUUCCCACCACAUAUGAUAGAAAGUUCCUUCUUUUUCUUUACAUUUCCAACACUUGUUACAUGUUUUAUACAUUUUAGCUAAUUUAACUGGCGUUAUGUACCAUCUAUAUACCAUUUUCAUUACAUUUUCUUUCAACGCGGUACACGCCGUAAAUUUCAUAAUUUCGUCCAAUCAUCAUAUUGUAUAUUAUAACCAAAGUCUCUAGUCCAAUGUAUCAUUACUGAUUUCACCUCUUCAUCUUUUGUAUGCCAUUCCAACAACAUAUCUUGAGACCCUUUGAUCAGUUCAGCGAAGCACUACAGACAAAGUUCUCUGAGCUUCCUCUCUUGCAACAACUACAUUCAGUCAUUUAGAUUUGCUUUGUGUUCUUCCUGGCAGUACUCUGUGUUCUACAACUGUGCUGCCUUAUCUGCCAAUACCGAAACACAUAUCAAUAUGCAGACUUACACCUGGCAAAGGAACAAAACCGUUGUGGCUCCGUUUGUGUAUGCUUUGCUGCUGCCGCCGCCUUGCAAAGUGUUCAGGGUUCUCCAUACUGGCUUAAGUGACUAUUUGCAGCACGAAAUGCAAGCAGGAAGAGGCAUUUGAGCUAUGACUGGAAGAGUAGGGAAAUCAAAACGUUGCUUUGAGAGCUCUAAAAUGGAAUCGUGUGGGUGCUGUUUGCUGGGUGGGAGUGGGGGUGGGGUGAAUGACAAUAACAUAAGGAAUCGCACUGAAAGCAAAACUCUACCAAGAUGCCCCAAGGGGGGGGAACAUCCACUCUAUAUAAAGAAUAAUUCCUAUGGGACAGAGACCAAAGGAAGAACAUGUUCCUUUGGGGAAAGCAUUCUGUUAAAGCAUCUAAAGAGAAAAUGAAAAUCACAAUUCUCCCUCUCCCUCUCUCCCUCUCGGCAGUAACAAUUCAUUGUGGCAAGAUUCAACCAAUAAAUAAAUGCACCCAUUCUGGGUGCGUGAUAAUUCAGGAAGGAUGCCAAUGUACGCAGAGAGACCUGAGCUAGUGGAGGCUGGUCCAUUAGGGCAAAUGAGGCACUGCCCCACCAGCCUUACAACCAGUCCAGGGGGUGGCAUUGCCUGUCUACUCCCUCCUGCUUAGUCUCAGAGUUGCCUCUUGUAGAGCUCAUCAGGGAGGAGGAUGGGGACAAAAAUGAGAAUCAGAUGACUCUGCUUGUCAUUCGCUCUGUUGCCACCUUACUGUUGGGCUCCUCACAUUCCAGCCAGCAACUGACCAUAACUCAAUGGCAAACGUCCACAGGUUCUGGUGUUAUGGGGGAUGGAGAAAAGCUUUUCUCUAGCCUCCUUCUCCAUGCCAUGCAUAAUUGUAAUACACUUCUUCCAGCAUGUCACUCCUUGCCCACCUAAGCUGAAAAGCCCCCGAUGUUGUAACUUCUCCUCAUAGGGAAGUUUCUCCACACUCUUAUUCCUGUUGGGUGCCCUUUGCUGAACCUUUUCCAGUUCUACAAUAUCUUUUUGGAGGUAAGGUGGACCAGAACUGUACACAGUACAGUGGUACCUCGGGUUAAGAACUUAAUUCGUUCUGGAGGUCCGUUCUUAACCUGAAACUGUUCUUAACCUGAAGCACCACUUUAGCUAAUGGGGCCUCCCGCUGCCACUGCACGAUUUCUGUUCCCAUCCUGAAGCAAAGUUCUUAACCUGAGGUACUAUUUCUGGGUUAGCAGAGUCUGUCACCUGAAGCGUCUGUAACCUGAAGCAUCUGUAACCCAAGGUACCACUGUAUCUCCAAAUGCGGUUGUAGUAUUCCAUAAGAGCAUGAGAAGAACCUACUAGAUCAUGCUAAUGGCCCAUCUAGUCCAGCAUCCUGUUCUCACAGUGGCCAACGAGAUCUGCCUGUGGGGAAUCUGAGAGCAGGACCCCUGAGCACAAGAGCACCCUCUCCUGCAGUUUCCAUCAACAGACAUUCAGAACCAUUGCUGCCUCCAACUGUGGAGGCAGAGAACAACAGCCUUCAUGGCUAGUAGCCAUUGAUAGCCUUAUCCUCCCAGAAUUUGCUUAAUCCUCUUUCAAAGGUACCUAAAGACAGGCUGUAGAAGUAAGGUGGAUGUGUUUUUAUCCUAGCACACUGGGUGCUCUGGUUUCUGUUUGCUCCUCUGCCAAAAGCUUUCUGGGUUGUUUUUUAAAUGGGUUCUUAUUUUUAAUUAAAGGAGAUUAAAUUCUCAUUUGGCUGGUUCAUUUAGAUUGUUUUAUUCUAGUUUUAUAUCCACCUUAUUCCAGCAUGAGUUACACUAAACCACACUAAACCUCUUUUAAUCCAGUGGGUUUAACAAAUUGGGUUAAAAAGGGUUGUUGUUGUUUUUUAAAACAGUGCUGCUUAAUUGUUCUGCUUUUUUUUUUUUUUUUUUGCCUCCUGGAGUCCUCUGUGUUGCAUCCAUUGCUAGUGCUACUCAGAGUAGGCCCAAUGAAAAUAAUGGGAAUGAUUAAUUUCAGAGUUUGUAUUCUAACAUAGCAGGAUAUGGCUUUGUCUUCUUAGAAAACCUUUGUGGACUAUAAUUUAUCAGAUGCAUGAAGUGUUAUUCUUGGAGGGGGGUUAGGCAGAGAUGGAUAGAUGUAUGGAUAGAUAGAGGAGAGGGAGUUGUAAACAGUGAGGUUGGAAGAAAAUGAAAUGCAGAAAAUUACAUGAUUAACAGUGGCCAUUCAUGAAAAAAGUUGUUGGUAAUGCAUACAUCUUGGGGAUGCGGGUGGCGCUGUGGGUUAAACCACAGAGCCUAGGACUUGCUGAUCAGAAGGUCGGCGGUUCAAAUCCCCACGACGGGAUGAGCUCCCGUUGCUCGGUCCCUGCUCCUGCCAACCUAGCAGUUUGAAAGCACGUCAAAGUGCAAGUAGAUAAAUACGUACCGCUGCGGCGGGAAGGUAAACGGCGUUUCCGUGUGCUGCUCUGGUUCACCAGAAGUGGCUUAGUCAUGCUGGCCACAUGACCUGGAAGCUGUAUGCCGGCUCCCUCAGCCAAUAAAGCGAGAUGAGCGCCGCAACCCCAGUCAGCCACGACUGGACCUAAUGGUCAGGGGUCCCUUUACCUUUUUAAUGCAUACAUCUUGGUAUUGGUAAUCCAGUUAACACAUGGAGGGCAAUAAAACUCAGUUGUCCUAAUUCAGUCCACAAGCGAUAGCACUGAACCUCUUGAUGUGCUGUAACUGAGCAGUUUCACAUUGCAGUUUCCCUUUGCAAAGGCCACCUUAAAGUCAGUUCCAGACAGUCCCAGGAGGUUGAAAUGUCCACACACACACCAUUUUUAUUGUUGUUGUUGCCAUUUCUGAUAUCAAAUUUUUGUCCUUUUAUUAUUUUGCACAGAGACUCGCCUGCUGGGCCUAUAUAGAGUGCAGAAAGACAUUGCUGGUAGAUAAUGGCAUAAGUUAGACUGAGCAAGUGAAUGAAUCCCUGGCAUUGUGGAUGCUGCUAGGCCCUAUCCCAUGGGUAUAUCUGGCCCAAUCGCCUUCUAAAUCCGGCCCGCGGACAGUCCGGGAAUCAGCGUAUUUUUACAUGAGUAGAAUGUGUGCUUUUAUUUAAAAUGCAUCUCUGGGUUAUUUGUGGGGCAUAGGAAUUCGUUCAUCCCCCCCUCCAAAAAAAAAUAUAUAGUCCAGCUCCCCACAAGUUCUGGGGGACAGUGGACCGGCCCCCUGCUGAAAAAGUUUGCUGACCCCUGCAUACUAAUGCUGUCAAAGUACAAACAAGGACAGAGAUGGUGUCAGCUUCCAUUGGCCUCUGGCCAUAGCUCAGUAGUAGAACGUCUGCUUUCUAUGCAGUAGGUCCCAGGUUUAGACCCCAGCAUCUCCAGGUAAGACUGGAAGGGAUUUCAUGUGUGGAAUCCUGGACAGCUGCUACCAGUCAGUGUAGACAGUAUUGAGCUAGAUGGACCGACGGUCUGACUCAGUUUAAGGCAGCUCCCUAUUAUAUUCCUGUGGUCUGUUGAUGGCGGCAAGUAGCAUUAGGAUGGGGAAACUCUCUGUAAUCAAUUACAGGGCUGCCACCCAAGGCCUCUGGGAGGGAAGAGUCAUUGUCCAAGAUCAAUUGUAGGCUAUUGAUUAUUGUUUUAAAUGGGAUGAGUAGCAAUGAUUAAUCCUGGUUAAUAAUAAGAAUGAAUUAUUGUUUUGAAUUUCAGCGCUAAUAUUAAUUCUAAUUCCAAUAAUAAUUCUAAUAAUAAUAAUAUUAUCCUAUAAGUGUUGCUGUAUAGAGUACAAGGGAACAAGAUCUCUGCCUCAAUGAGCUUACAAUAUAAAAUUUGGCAUGGUGAGUGGGAAGAGAAAUGGGGCACCCCACUCACGUUUGUAGGGAUUAACUGUGUGGUUCCUUUCUUUACCAAUGUUUAUCUUUAAAUUUAUUACAUUUUUAAUUACAUUUAUAUUCCACCACCUUGCCCUAUAUAUGCCCACUCAACCACUUUGGUCUGCAGAAUACGUUGCUCUUUUCUUGCAAAUCUUAAUGGAGUGACCUGGGAGCGUCUCCCAUGCUCCCUUAGUAAUGCAUCACAAUUUACCACCAUUAAAAAGAGGUCUAUUGCAGGGAACUUAAAGUGGUAAAUACCACAAAAGACAUACUUUUUUUUAUAGCCAGAUGUAACCUGGUUUUCUUCUUCUGAGGGACUCAUGCCUGCUUCUCUUGAGGCAGGAUCAAUUGUUCCUUUCCCCCUCUUUUCUUUCCUCUGCCUUUGUGCUCCAUUCUACUCAUUGCCGUGUUCCUGGAGAAGGGAGGGGGGAAUUGGUUAACUGUAAUAAAAGCAAGAAACACUUGAUUCGCUGUGUGCAAUAAAUUAUCCACUCCUUACCCAUUGAAACCUCUUUCUGGGGAAACUUGAAUCUUCUUGCUGCAGAUAUAUAGAUGUUAUUUGACUGGAUGGGGUUUGGAAAGGAAUCCUAGCUAUUAAGCAACGUAUUGAAAAUGAUUCCACCUUGCCUAUUGUGGAAUUGAAGGAAAGGUUCAGACUCAAAAGCUAAGAGGCAAUUAGCUCAAGUUCAUGAGCUCACAAUUUUCUGGCCUUUUAUCUAAACUGCCUCCACUUAAAGCCACUGGCAGCAUGGGAAGGACGAUAGAUGGGCCCAAGCAAUAUAGUGAUGCUAGCCCAGAAAGUGUUAUAAAUUGUAAGGUGCAGAUGUGGCAAAUUUAACAGUUUCCUAUCAUGAUCAUGGGUUCGUCGUGGUGCGUGGUGUGUGUUUAUUCCUCUCUCAAGUGUACUUUAAGAAGAAGUGGACAGUUUAUAGAGACGGUGUGUCCCAGUGCUUAUAAGCACAGAGCUAUCAGCUGGAGGUCGUCUCUUCCUGCUAUCUUGUAGCUGUCGCCUUUAAUGGAACAUCCAAGUAGAUUAAAAGCAGCAGCAACCGCCAGUCAGAAUCCAGCUGAGACAGACGAGGAGGCAGUCUCAAGGAGGGGAAAAGCCAGUGCAGGCUAGCUCUUAAAGGCAAAUGGAAAACUGCCCCACCAACCACAGUCUGCCCUCAACCAUCCCCAUUGGCCUCACUUCUUACUUACAACCAUCACUAGCUUCCUUCUCCUCAGUAGAACUCAGCAAGCAGGAUGAUGGGGGCAAAACCAGAAUGCACUGGUUCUGCCUGUCAUUAGGUCUGGGUCCACCUAUUCUUUGGGCUCCUAGUAUUCUGCCCCAGUAGUCACAGUGGGCCUCAGCCACCCCUAGGAAGAGCUGAGCUUUAUUUUGAUGGUGGGACAUGUGUCUUCCUAAGAUCUGCCAGGAGAUGGUGAGGGGCCUGGAGACCAAGUCCACUAAGGAAGGGUUGAGGAAAUUGGAUAUGUGACUUAAGAGGCAAUACAAGUGCCAUCUUCAAAUAUUUGUAAGGCUGUCACAUAGAUGAUGAAGUGUUUUCUGUUGCCCCAUACAGGAACAUAGGAAACUGCCUUAUACUGUGUCAGAACAUUGGCCAUCUAGCUCAGUAUUGUCCACAUUGACUGGCAGCAGCUCUCCCGGGUUCAGACAGGGGACAUUCCCAGUCCUGCUUAGAGAUGCCAGUGAUGGGACCUUCUGCAUGCAAAGCAGAUGCUGUACCACUCAGCUAUGCCCUAUCUGGAGAGUGAGAUUUGAAUGAACGGGUUCACAUUAAAAGAGAGUGGAACUUUGAUUAAACUUCAGGAAGAACCUCUCGUUUAUUAAAGCUUUUAAAAGGAAGGCCAUGGAUGAGAGAUGCUGUUGCAAUGGACUUGCUCCAUUGCCAGGAGUCAGAAGUAGGUGAUUGUGAUUCUGUGCUUUAUGAUUAAGUGUGGGCAUCUUCCACAGCUGUUCAGAAAGGGGGACAGUGGUGCUCUCCCUUCUGGCCAGUGAAGGCCUACAUCUACAUCAAGAAGGAGCUCACAUCACCAAAAAGAAGGUCUUCUCUGGCCUUUGAAAAUGCCAGUCAUAUGCAGGACACUUCCAUUUGACCUUUUUAUUGAGCAUUCUUUAGAUGACUUGGCUACAUAAAGGAUAGUUGUUCCAGUUUGUUUGCAGGGAAGUUUGAUGAUAAAGUCACUUUCCUUAUUGCAAAAAGUCUUGGGGAAGCAGGUUUGUUGCAUCAGAACUCUCAAUCGGCUUUAAUUUCACAACCUGAAUUUGCUGGUAUGUGAUUGAAUCUUACCUGAAAAUAAUGACAGUCUGGAAGCUCCCCCAGUUUCAGAAAAGUAUCAUUAAAUAAAUAAAGCUUUCAGUCUGGGUGCUUCUCCUUGGGUGCUUCAGAAUUGCCAAGUUUGGACCUUCCUACUAAAACUGUCCUUUUUUCAUGUCAUCUGCUUUGACAAUGUCAUCUUACCCUUCUUAGAAUAACUGUUCUAAGAAGUGUGACUGCGGUAAAUGCAAAUAGAUAGGUAUGGAUAUAGAUAUAGAUGUGGAUAAUAUUACAUUUAUAUCCCCCAAGGAAGCUCAGGUUGGCAAUCCUGUGAUGUAGGUUAAAUUGGCCCAAGGUCACUCAGUCAACUUCAUUUGUGGUCCUAUAACCUGCGAGGCACUUUCCCCUGCAGGAGAGUUUAUGGAGCAGGAGAAAGCUGAUCAUGGGAGGGCGUGGUGAUGGCAUUGGAUAACACCUUACCUAUCAGAGCAGGUGUGCUUUGUUUUUGCAUCCUGCAUAUUGAAGUGAUAGCCUCUCCUUUGCUUCUGAAGUGGGCAUGUUUGGACUUGCCCACACCGCUAGCAGCCAAAUCAGCAAAUCAAGUUAAAUAUGGAAGGGGUGGGUGGGUGUGUAUACCAGAACCCUUACUUAAAAUAUAUGCAGCCAGGCUUAAUGGGCCAGCUCUUUGCCUGCAGGCAACAUGUUCAACCCCUCAGUUAACCACCACUUAGCAUUCCCAACAUGAGCAGGGUUUGUAAUCCUUGACGUGUGAUGAAAUUCUUGGUACAUCAUCCACAACCUUGAGGGCUCCACAGUGUCACCUUUGUACACUUCCAUGUUUCUCCUUUGAGC